ACCUAAAAGCUAGCUCCUUCAAAUAAAAUAAAACAAAAAUAUUUAUACACUAUUAUGUGCUAGAAUUAUAAAACAAAUCAUUUCUUUACACCUUAGUAUAGGCGAUAGAAAAGGACAUGUUGAAGCUAUAGAGAAAGUACCGCAAGGGAAUGAUGAAAGAGAAAUGAAAUAACCCAGUAAAGUAAAAAAAAGCAAAGAUUAGACCUUGUACCUUUUGCAUCAUGAUUUAGCAAGACCUAAUUAAGCAAAAAGCUUUGUAGUUUAAAACCCCGAAACCAAGUGAGCUACUCCGGGACAGCUUAGAUAAUAGAGCAAACACGUCUCUGUGGCAAAAGAGUGUGAAGAUCCUCGAGUAGAGAUGACAAAUCUACCGAACUUGGUUAUAGCUGGUUGCCUGAAAACUAAAUAAAAGUUUAGCCUUUUCUUUUCUUAAAUUAAUACUAAUCAUAAUUUUUAUUUAACUAAAGAAUUAUUAAAGAGUUAUUCAUAAGAGGUCCAGCCCUUAUGAACAAGGACACAACCUUAUUGAGAAGGAUAAUGAACAUAUCAUUUUAAAGUUAAUAUUUUGGUGGGCCUAAAGGCAGCCAUCCAAGAAAAAAGCGUUAAAGCUCAAAUAUUAUAAAACUUCAAAUUAAGAUUACAUAUAAUCAUAAUCCCCUAAAUAUAUCAGGCUAUUCUAUUCUAAAAUAGAAGAAAUUAUGCUAAAAUGAGUAAUAAGAGGAUUCAAACCUCUCCUUAGCACCCAUGUAAAUCGGAACGGAAAAACCACCGAAAGUUAAUCGGCCCCAAAAAUAGAGAGGAGUAAGUUAAAAAAAGAUAACUAGAAAAGCACUUAUUCUUUACCGUUUAGCCCACACUGGCAUGCAACAUUUUUAAAGGAAAGAUAAAAAGAAAAAGAAGGAACUCGGCAAACAUAAAUACUUAAACUAAGCCUCGCCUGUUUACCAAAAACAUCGCUUCUUGUUAUAAUAAUAUAAGAAGUCCCGCCUGCCCUGUGACUAAAAGUUUAACGGCCGCGGUAUUCUGACCGUGCAAAGGUAGCGCAAUCACUUGUCUUUUAAAUAGAGACCUGUAUGAAUGGCAUAACGAGGGCUUAACUGUCUCCUUUUUCCUAUCAAUGAAAUUGAUUUCCCCGUGCAGAAGCGGGGAUACUAACAUAAGACGAGAAGACCCUAUGGAGCUUAAGCCGCAAGAACAGAACUUUUACUCCUUUACCAAUCUAAAGGUAUGAAAUUCAUUGUUUUAAUCCUGUUCAAGUGUCUUUGGUUGGGGCGACCACGGAGCAUAAAAAACCUCCACGAGGAAUGAAAAUAGUCCUUUUUUAUUUAAGGGUGACAACCCUAAAAACCAGAAUUUCUGACCAUUUGAUCCGGCAAAGCCGAUCAACGAACCGAGUUACCCUAGGGAUAACAGCGCAAUCCUCUUCUAGAGUCCAUAUCGACAAGAGGGUUUACGACCUCGAUGUUGGAUCAGGACAUCCUAAUGGUGCAGCAGCUAUUAAGGGUUCGUUUGUUCAACGAUUAAAGUCCUACGUGAUCUGAGUUCAGACCGGAGUAAUCCAGGUCAGUUUCUAUCUAUGAAAUGUUUUGUUCCAGUACGAAAGGAUCGAAGAAAAAGGGCCAAUAAUUCAAUUAAGCCCUCCCCUAAUCUGAUGAAACCAACUAAAUUAGAUAAAAGGACAUAUUCCCUAUUUAAGGGAAG
rnacentral:rRNA from 1 species